GGUGGAUGCCUUGGCACUAGGAGCCGAAGAAGGACGGGACUAACACCGAUAUGCUUUGGGGAGCUGUACGUAAGCGUUGAUCCAGAGAUUUCCGAAUGGGGGAACCCACUAUCUUUAGUCGGAUAGUAUCCUUACGUGAAUACAUAGCGUAAGGAAGGCAGACCCAGGGAACUGAAACAUCUAAGUACCUGGAGGAAGAGAAAGAAAAAUCGAUUUCCUGAGUAGCGGCGAGCGAAACGGAAAGAGCCCAAACCAAGAAGCUUGCUUCUUGGGGUUGUAGGACACUCUAUACGGAGUUACAAAAGAAAGUUAUAAAUGAAGCGGUCUGGAAAGGCCCGCCAAAGACGGUAACAGCCCGGUAGUUGAAAUGGCUUUCCCUCCAGAGUGGAUCCUGAGUACGGCGGAACACGUGAAAUUCCGUCGGAAUCCGGGAGGACCAUCUCCCAAGGCUAAAUACUCCCUAGUGACCGAUAGUGAACCAGUACCGUGAGGGAAAGGUGAAAAGCACCCCGGAAGGGGAGUGAAACAGUUCCUGAAACCGUGUGCCUACAAGUAGUUAGAGCCCGUUAAUGGGUGAUAGCGUGCCUUUUGUAGAAUGAACCGGCGAGUUACGAUUUGUUGCAAGGUUAAGCGGAAAAAGCGGAGCCGUAGCGAAAGCGAGUCUGAAUAGGGCGCAUAAGUAACAGGUCGUAGACCCGAAACCAGGUGAUCUACCCAUGUCCAGGAUGAAGGUAAGGUAAUACUUACUGGAGGUCCGAACCCACGCACGUUGAAAAGUGCGGGGAUGAGGUGUGGGUAGCGGAGAAAUUCCAAUCGAACUUGGAGAUAGCUGGUUCUCUCCGAAAUAGCUUUAGGGCUAGCCUCGAGGUAAAGAGUCAUGGAGGUAGAGCACUGUUUGGACUAGGGGCCCUUCUCGGGUUACCGAAUUCAGAUAAACUCCGAAUGCCAUGUACUUAUACUCGGGAGUCAGACUGCGAGUGAUAAGAUCCGUAGUCGAAAGGGAAACAGCCCAGACCACCAGUUAAGGUCCCCAAAUAUAUGUUAAGUGGAAAAGGAUGUGGGGUUGCUUAGACAACCAGGAUGUUGGCUUAGAAGCAGCCACCAUUGAAAGAGUGCGUAAUAGCUCACUGGUCGAGUGACCCCGCGCCGAAAAUGUACCGGGGCUAAACAUAUUACCGAAACUGUGGAUGAACCUCUUCGGAGGUUCGUGGUAGGAGAGCGUUCUAAGGGCGGUGAAGUCAGACCGGAAGGACUGGUGGAGCGCUUAGAAGUGAGAAUGCCGGUAUGAGUAGCGAAAGAAGGGUGAGAAUCCCUUCCACCGAAUAUCUAAGGUUUCCUGAGGAAGGCUCGUCCGCUCAGGGUUAGUCGGGACCUAAGCCGAGGCCGAUAGGCGUAGGCGAUGGACAACAGGUAGAGAUUCCUGUACCAGUGCUAAUUGUUUAACCGAUGGGGUGACACAGAAGGAUAGGGAAUCGCACGAAUGGAAAUGUGCGUCCAAGCAGUGAGUGUGA
rnacentral:rRNA from 1 species